rnacentral:rRNA from 1 species
UGGGGAAUUUUCCGCAAUGGGCGAAAGCCUGACGGAGCAAUACCGCGUGAGGGAUGAAGGCUCGUGGGUUGUAAACCUCUUUUCUUAGGGAAGAAGUUCUGACGGUACCUAAGGAAUAAGCAUCGGCUAACUCCGUGCCAGCAGCCGCGGUAAUACGGAGGAUGCAAGGGUUAUCCGGAAUCACUGGGCGUAAAGCGUCUGUAGGUUGUUUAGUAAGUCUGCUGUUAAAGAUUGGGGCUCAACCCCAUAGCAGCAGUGGAAACUGCUAAGCUAGAGUAUGGUAAGGGUAAAGGGAAUUCCCAGGGUAGCGGUGAAAUGCGUAGAUAUUGUGAAGAACACCAGAGGCGAAAGCGCUUUACUAGACCAUUGCUGACACUCAGAGACGAAAGCUAGGGGCGCGAAUGGGAUUAGAGACCCCCGUAGUCC